rnacentral:rRNA from 1 species
UACUUCAGCUAGCUCUCUGCAACUCUCACAUGGUUGCCCACUGAAGCUAAGCAGGGCUGCGCCUGGUCAGUACCUGGAUGGGAGACCACAUGGGAAAGCUAGGUUGCUGCCGGAA